GUCUGGUUUGGAGCAAAGAACUUAAACAGCAGUGUCCAUGUAGAGGAAAUGAGAAGAGCCAUGGCAUGCUGACUGCAAUAGCAUCUCUUCUUUCUGUGUCAGACAUAAAAGAUGAGUGGCACUCUGCAACUUAAUGUCCAGGAGGGAGUCACCAAAACAACAGCUCUUUGUAAGAUUUGUAUUUGUGCAUUCACUCAAGACCAUCUCAGCCUGUCUUGGGGGAUGUAGGUUGCCACUGUUCUUCUGAGCAUAUGACUAAAUACACAUCUGAAUUGUAUAUGUAAAAUCCUUUUAUUAUCUGGCCUGUAAAUUAAGCUUAGAAAGCCCAGGAAAUGGAAACCAGUGGAAAUAAAGCAUUCCUCUCUUACUGGCUGCAGCUAUGGAACAAGGAUUCUGAAGAGGUGAAAACAUAGAAUGUCAGGAUGUGCUGGGAGAUCCUGCUUUCUGUGGAAAAUCCGCGUGUCAAUACCUCUAAAUAUGUUAGCUCAUGUUCUCCAACAUAAUAGAUGUAAAAUGAUGAAAAAAUUCAAUAUCCAAAAUAACAACUAUGCAUUUAAACACCCUUGCUGCAGUUGAUGCAAUCUUAGACAGGUAAAGCUCCAUGCUCUUCUCCCUGACAAAGACAAUUUCCUCAAUUGUUACAGGUGUCUGUAUGUUAAGGUAUACAAGAUAAAUAAUCAUGUGGUUUACUUUGAGUCAAGAGUAAUGCACAGUGCAGAAGCAGCAUCAGCAGCAUCUUUAUAACCACUGAGCUAUUGAUGCACAAAUAAGCACUGCUUUUGCACAGCAUGCCCUGAAUCUAUUCUGGAUCCAGCAGCAAGGGUACUAUGGCUUACCAGAGAGUAUUUUCCCCAAGAGUGGGAUUUGCACAGAAGAGACACCAGUCUGGCUCUUACAAAGCCCUGUCUGUCUCUGUUUGUUUUCAGACCCAGAGUAUUAAUAAAAUUCAAAAGACAGACAUGAAUGUUUCUUUCAUCUUCCUACUUGAAACAGAAAGGUGCCAAACUUCCAGGGAAUUCAUUUUACCAUGUCUGGAUACAUAUACUGUGAAGGAAAAGCGUAGAACAGUGAAAACACCCCUAAUUCUUUCAUCUAAUGAAAAUCAAGCUUGCUGUUCUGAGGGAGGAACUCUCUUAAAUAAUGUUUCAAUAUAAGGGUGUUCCCCCCACAUCAAGGAGGAUUAAAAUGACUUUUUUUAUCAGCAGUAUCUUUAUUGUUAUCUGGAAAAUAAAGU
ensembl:lncRNA